CUUUGUCAUCCAGGUGAAUUGCUUCCCUCUUUUUGCUCCUGAGCAGAACAAGAUUUGAUGAGGAGGAAAGCCUGUGAAGUCCAACAAGACUGCUUUCAUCCUUCCUUCCCGUUUGUGUUAGCUGGCUGUCACGGAGUGAUCUAGAUCAGUGUAUGCCUGUGGCGGGGCAGUGGGCCUGUUUUCCUGUGUUUGGCUUCCUUGCUUUGCCAUGAUGCUGUCUUGAGUUCAUGUGCUGGACUCUUGUAUUUCGUGUCUUUGUUUUGCUUUGCUCUGUUUUCCUUGUUGUUUGCCGUUCUUUUGUCAGUCUUGCUUUAUUGCUGCUCCUGUGUUGCAAUACCUUGGUUUUGUUCAGAUGUGGUGAUUGAUACUUUUCCCUUUCCCAUUCUUGGAACUCUUUUCUCCCUCCUUCAGGGUGUUCCUCUUUGUUUCUCGGCUUUUCAGGUGAUUUGGCUUUGCCUUCCUUGGCUUUUUGGAACUUGGGAAAAGGUACCGAGGUGCAUGGAUAUGGAGAAGAGAAGCUCUCCUGCUGUGGCUGAGAGGAAAGCAGUGCGGAGGGAACGUGUGUGGUGAGAUGCUGAGGAGAGAUUGCCUCCCUUGCCCCAGCAGGCUGCUUGUGUCCUGGUGAUGCACGGUGACGAGAAGGCUGCUGUUCUGUGAGUAAGCCUGCCACGUGGGAGUAAUGGUUGUGGCCUUUUGGGCAAGUCUCUGAGGAGAGGUCUUUGGGCAGGCUGGUUGUUUUGCUGGGCAAGUGCCAUUUGAGUUGUUUGUUGCCAUGCUUGGUUGGUGCUUGUUUGAGAAAUAGUGGUCCUCUUGACGAGCAGUGCUCUGGCAGCAGGGGAGUGAGAAAUGUCAUGUCCACCCAGUCUUCUCCACGAGCCUUACGCUGCCUUUCCCCAUUGUCUGUAAAUGGCUGUAGAAAUGGCAGGGGGAGAAGUAGGGAAGAGGGUUUCUGUGCAUCUCUUAGCAGGUGUCAGCUCCUAAGAGCUGGGAGCCCUGCAGAGCGUCCUGG
rnacentral:lncRNA from 1 species